AAUGACGAGGUUUGUGACUGAGCGGCGGACGGGUGAGUAACGCGUGGGCAACCUGCCUCACACAGGGGGAUAACAGUUAGAAAUGACUGCUAAUACCGCAUAAGCGCACAGUAUCGCAUGAUACGGUGUGAAAAACUCCGGUGGUACAAGAUGGACCCGCGUCUGAUUAGCUGGUUGGUGAGGUAACGGCGCACCAAGCCGACGAUCAGUAGCCGACCUGAGAGGGUGACCGGCCACAUUGGGACUGAGACACGGCCCAAACUCC
rnacentral:rRNA from 1 species